GACGAACCGUGCGAACGUUGUUCGGAAUCACUGGGCCUAAAGGGCGCGUAGGCGGCUUUUCAAGUCAGGGGUGAAAUCCGGCAGCUCAACUGUCGAAGUGCCCUUGAUACUGAUGAGCUCGAGGGAGGUAGGGGUGUGUGGAACUUCCGGUGGAGCGGUGAAAUGCGUUGAUAUCGGAAGGAACGCCGGUGGCGAAAGCGACGCACUGGACCUCUUCUGACGCUGAGGCGCGAAAGCUAGGGGAGCAAACGGG
rnacentral:rRNA from 1 species